UCCGGACUGGCCCAGAGAGGUGGGCAACUACCACUCAGGGCCGGAAAGCUCUCCAAACUCGGUCAUUUAGAGGAAGUAAAAGUCGUAACAAGGUCUCCGUUGGUGAACCAGCGGAGGGAUCAUUA
rnacentral:rRNA from 1 species